CUCGGUGGGCGGGUAUGUAUUGACUUUUCUGUUGUGUUUACUGGAGAAGGUGGCUUGUCAAUCACUACAGAAAGCGCUUUGGAUUGGAUUGCUGCCGAGACUCUGGGGACGGGAGCCAAACUUUGCUAUCGAAAUGUAUUGUGGGUUAGUAGUCUCAGCCUUGCUCCUUAGCUGAAGAAAUUACCGGGGGAAGGAGCUGAUUGAACUACACAUCCCAGAGAAAUGUGCUGAUAUCAAGAAGGAAAGGAGUACGAAUUCUGCUAAAGUCGAUUUGGGCAAGAGCUAGAAAACAUCCUUCUUUAAAACUGCCCACAUUUCUUGAAUUUUUUAAAUGUACCUGAAUGCUACAUAGCAAAAUCAGUAAACAACGGAUUACAAAUUC